rnacentral:pre_miRNA from 14 species
CUCCCGAGACGAGGGUGGUCGCCGAUCCUGGAUGAGCCCCCUAAUGAAAGACCCUCAGAGCAAGGAGACCCUCACUCAAGUCUCAGUAUGACACAACCCCUCAAGAACUUGUUGGGAACG